rnacentral:rRNA from 1 species
UCGAGGAUCUUCGGCAAUGGGCGCAAGCCUGACCGAGCGACGCCGCGUGCGCGAUGAAGGCCUUCGGGUUGUAAAGCGCUGUCGAGGGGGAGGAAAGCCCGCAAGGGUCUGACCUAUCCCUGGAGGAAGCACGGGCUAAGUUCGUGCCAGCAGCCGCGGUAAGACGAACCGUGCAAACGUUAUUCGGAAUCACUGGGCUUAAAGGGCGCGUAGGCGGGCUGUCAAGUCAGGGGUGAAAUCGUUCGGCCCAACCGGACAAGGGCCCCUGAUACUGAUGGCCUCGAGGGAGGUAGGGGUCGAUGGAACUUCCGGUGGAGCGGUGAAAUGCGUAGAUAUCGGAAGGAACGCCGGUGGCGAAAGCGAUCGACUGGACCUCUUCUGACGCUGAGGCGCGAAAGCCAGGGGAGCAAACGG